UACGUAGGGGGCAAGCGUUGUCCGGAUUUAUUGGGCGUAAAGCGCGCGUAGGCGGCAAGGUGUGUCGUGCGUGAAAUCGCCCGGCUCAACUGGGCGGGGUCAGCGGAUACGGUCGAGCUUGAGCAAGCUAGGGGGUAAUGGAAUUCCCGGUGUAGUGGUGGAAUGCGUAGAUAUCGGGAGGAACACCAGUGGCGAAGGCGGUUACCUGGGGCUUUGCUGACGCUGAUGCGCGAAAGCGUGGGGAGCGAGUCCGG
rnacentral:rRNA from 1 species